CAAUAGCGUAUAUUAAAGUUGUUGCGGUUAAAGAGCUCGUAGUUGGAUUUCUGCUGAGGACGAUUGGUCCGCCCUCUGGGUGAGCAUUGACUCGGCCUUGGCAUCUUCUUGGAGAACGCUACUGCACUUGACUGUGUGGUGCGGUGUCCAGGACUUUUACUUUGUUAGUGUUUCAAGCAGGCGCACGCCUUGAAUACAUUAGCAUGGAAUAAUAGGAUAGGACCUUGGUUCUAUUUUGUUGGCUUCUAGAGCUGAGGUAAUGAUUAAUAGGGAUAGUUAGGGGCAUUCGUAUUUAACUGUCAGAGGUGAAGUUCUUGGAUUUGUUAAAGACGGACUACUGCGAAUGCAUUUGCCAAUGAUUUUUUCUAUUGAUCAAGAACGAAAGUUAGGGAUCGAAGACGAUCAGAUACCAU
rnacentral:rRNA from 1 species